AGGCAUGCAAGAGGCAACGUGUGUGUGUGUGUGGAGUUAACACGCAGCACUGCGAACAGCCAGAGUGUUCCCGUAGCUUUCGUCUCCAAAAGGGUUCAUAUAUAAACAAGAGUACUGUGUGAUUUAAACCAACAGGAUUUUAACUGUUAAAUACAGUGUGGGACUCUGGGACUAGGACACAGCUUGAACAGAUCACCAGUCAGCCUGAUCUCACACCUUAUUAACUGUGUGUGUUCACUUCAGCAUCACGCUGCAACACCAGCGAGAUACACACAUUCUUCUACCAGCCAAGUACUGUCUUAUCGCUGAUAAAAGAUAGAGAGCAGUGUGUGUGUUCCUACUCUGCCCUCUGUGUGUGUGUGUGUUCCUACUCUGCCCUCUGUGAGUGUGUGUGUGUUCCUACUCUGCCCUCUGUGUGUGUGUGUGUGUUCCUACUCUGCCCUCUGUGUGUGUGUGUGUGUUCCUACUCUGCCCUCUGUGUGUGUGUGUGUUCCUACUCUGCCCUCUGUGUGUGUGUGUGUGUGUUCCUACUCUGCCCUCUGUGUGUGUGUGUGUGUUCCUACUCUGCCCUCUGUGUGUGUGUGUGUGUUCCUACUCUGCCCUCUGUGUGUGUGUGUGUGUUCCUACUCUGCCCUCUUGCAAUCAGGAAGUAGGAGAUUGUGUUUUGAGGAAGUGAACCAUGAAAGGAAAAUAGGUGUGUGUGUGUGUGUGUGGGAUCUUCAACAAGCUUCUCACUGCAGAAUUAGGAUUUUUAACAAUUUUUCUUCAAAAGUCAAAUUACGAAGUUGCUCCAAUCUUCAAAUUUCAAAGUGUUAUUUUUUUUCUUUUUUGACAGUCUCCUCCUUUUCAGUAUCGUUCCGUUUCCCCAAACGUUUAAAGACCCCCCCAAU
rnacentral:lncRNA from 1 species